rnacentral:rRNA from 1 species
UGAAGAGCCGCGGUAUUUUGACCGUGCAAAGGUAGCAUAAUCAUUAGUCUCUUAAUUAGGGGCUGGAAUGAAUGGCUUGACGAGAAAUCAACUGUCUCUUAAUAAUUUUUAAAAUUUAACUUUUGAGUUAAAAGGCUUAAAUUUUUCUUUAGGACGAGAAGACCCUAUAGAGCUUGACAUCUUACUUUUAUAUAGUUUUUAGUUGGUCUUUCUAUAUGAAAUGAUAAUGUUUUGUUGGGGUGACAUGAAGAAUAAAUAAACUCUUCAUUAUAUAAUCAUUGAUUUAUGUUUAUUAUGAUCCAUAAUUUAUGAUCACAAGAUUAAGUUACCUUAGGGAUAACAGCGUAAUUGUUUUCGAGAGCUCAUAUCGACAAAGCAGAUUGCGACCUCGAUGUUGGAUUAAGAAAAAUGUUGAGUGCAGUAGCUCAAUAAUUAGGUCUGUUCGACCUUUAAAUUCUUAC